GACGAACGCUGGCGGCAGGCUUAACACAUGCAAGUCGAGCGGAGAUGAGGUGCUUGCACCUUAUCUUAGCGGCGGACGGGUGAGUAAUGCUUAGGAAUCUGCCUAUUAGUGGGGGACAACAUUCCGAAAGGAAUGCUAAUACCGCAUACGUCCUACGGGAGAAAGCAGGGGAUCUUCGGACCUUGCGCUAAUAGAUGAGCCUAAGUCGGAUUAGCUAGUUGGUGGGGUAAAGGCCUACCAAGGCGACGAUCUGUAGCGGGUCUGAGAGGAUGAACCGCCACACUGGGACUGAGACACGGCCCAGACUCCUACGGGAGGCAGCAGUGGGGAAUAUUGGACAAUGGGGGGAACCCUGAUCCAGCCAUGCCGCGUGUGUGAAGAAGGCCCUAUGGUUGUAAAGCACUUUAAGCGAGGAGGAGGCUACUGAGACUAAUACUCUUGGAUAGUGGACGUUACUCGCAGAAUAAGCACCGGCUAACUCUGUGCCAGCCGCCGCGGUAACAC
rnacentral:rRNA from 1 species